rnacentral:sRNA from 1 species
GCGUGCAGAUGCGAUGCGUGAUUCGCUUCAA